UCAGCGUUGAUUCAGCUACUCGUUCGUCGACUCGUUUGAGGUGUUCGUGUCGCCAUUGUCGUAUCGCAGUGUUAGAAAAAUUGUGUGAAAAAUUGAAAUCAAUUUUUUGUGAACAAAAAAGUGUAAAAGUAGUAGUGCAAGAAAACCAGAAAGCGCAUUUUAUGUGCAAAUUGCAAUUGAGAUUCAAUAUCUCCUGUGUGAAAGCUCUGAAGUAUAAGAAAAAGGACUCCAAUUAGGCCGUGAAGGCUACCCCUAAGCGCCAAUAGGGAAGUGGAAAAUUUUCGUCGUUCCGUCUAAACUAGGCACCUCAAGAGGCGCACUGAGUUUCUUUCCCAAGAACAAAGAAACAAGUUAGCAAAAGGCGAAAACAAAUUGAAAAGCAAUUCGUUAACCAUCUAAUGAGCCAUCCUCGUCUUUGUAUCGGCGAAUAAACCGAUACCAGCUGUAGUUUGCUCAGGUCUUGAGUAAACUCAACAUAAAACAAUUUUAGCGUCGAAUUAAUAUUUGUUGAUUAAUCUACAUCUGAUAACGCAACGAUUGCGACGGCAUUUGAUUUAGCAAUUCAUCAACAAUUAGAAGCCACAUUUCCGUCGAAGCAUUACGUUUUUGG